rnacentral:rRNA from 1 species
CCUACGGGUGGCAGCAGUGGGGAAUAUUGCACAAUGGGGGAAACCCUGAUGCAGCGACGCCGCGUGAGCGAUGAAGUAUUUCGGUAUGUAAAGCUCUAUCAGCAGGGAAGAAAAUGACGGUACCUGACUAAGAAGCCCCGGCUAACUACGUGCCAGCAGCCGCGGUAAUACGUAGGGGGCAAGCGUGAUCCGGAUUUGCUGGGUGGAAAGGGAGCGUAGACGGCUGUGCAAGUCAGAUGUGAAAGCCCUCGGCUCAACCCCGGGAUUGCAUUUGGAACUGGGUGGCUUGAGUGCAGGAAGGGCAGGCGGAAGUCCUGGUGUAGCGGUGAAAUGCGUAGAUAUCAGGAGGAACACCGGUGGCGAAGGC